rnacentral:rRNA from 1 species
GACAACAGGGAUUGCCCUAGUAACGGCGAGUGAAGCGGCAACAGCUCAAAUUUGAAAUCUGGCUCUUUUAGAGUCCGAGUUGUAAUUUGCAGAGGGCGCUUUGGCUUUGGCAGCGGUCCAAGUUCCUUGGAACAGGACGUCACAGAGGGUGAGAAUCCCGUACGUGGUCGCUAGCUAUUGCCGUGUAAAGCCCCUUCGACGAGUCGAGUUGUUUGGGAAUGCAGCUCUAAAUGGGAGGUAAAUUUCUUCUAAAGCUAAAUACUGGCCAGAGACCGAUAGCGCACAAGUAGAGUGAUCGAAAGAUGAAAAGCACUUUGGAAAGAGAGUCAAACAGCACGUGAAAUUGUUGAAAGGGAAGCGCUUGCAGCCAGACUUGCUUGCAGUUGCUCAUCCGGGCUUUUGCCCGGUGCACUCUUCUGCAGGCAGGCCAGCAUCAGUUUGGGCGGUGGGAUAAAGGUCUCUGUCACGUACCUCUCUUCGGGGAGGCCUUAUAGGGGAGACGACAUACCACCAGCCUGGACUGAGGUCCGCGCAUUCGCUAGGAUGCUGGCGUAAUGGCUGUAAGCGGCCCGUCUUGAAACACGGACCAAGGAGUCUAACAUCUAUGCGAGUGUUUGGGUGUCAAGCCCGAACGCGUAAUGAAAGUGAACGGAGGUGGGAACCCGCAAGGGUGCACCAUCGACCGAUCCUGAUGUCUUCGGAAGGAUUUGAGUAAGAGCAUGGCUGUUGGGACCCGAAAGAUGGUGAACUAUGCUUGAAUAGGGUGAAGCCAGAGGAAACUCUGGUGGAGGCUCGCAGCGGUUCUGACGUGCAAAUCGAUCGUCAAAUUUGGGCAUAGGGGCGAAAGACUAAUCGAUC